GACGAACGCUGGCGGCGUGCCUAAUACAUGCAAGUAGAACGCUGAAGGAGGAGCUUGCUCUUCUGGAUGAGUUGCGAACGGGUGAGUAACGCGUAGGUAACCUGCCUGGUAGCGGGGGAUAACUAUUGGAAACGAUAGCUAAUACCGCAUAAGAGUAGAUGUUGCAUGACAUUUACUUAAAAGGUGCAAUUGAAUCAAUACCAGAUGGACCUGCGUUGUAUUAGCUAGUUGGUGGGGUAACGGCUUACCAAGGCGACGAUACAUAGCCGACCUGAGAGGGUGAUCGGCCACACUGAGACUGAGACACGGCCCAGACUCCUACGGGAGGCAGCAGUAGGGAAUCUUCGGCAAUGGACGGAAGUCUGACCGAGCAACGCCGCGUGAGUGAAGAAGGUUUUCGGAUCGUAAAGCUCUGUUGUAAGAGAAGAACGAGUGUGAGAGUGGAAAGUUCACACUGUGACGGUAACUUACCAGAAAGGUACGGCUAACUACGUG
rnacentral:rRNA from 1 species